UCUCCGUUGGUGAACCAGCGGAGGGAUCAUUACUGAGUUACAAAACUCACAAACCAUUGUGAACGUUACCUAGCCCGUUCCUUCGACGUGCUGUCCGGGCACCGCGCCCGGCACCCCCCCGUCCCCCGCGGGCGCCCGCCGGCGGUAAACCAAACCCCAGAACUUCAUGCCCUCUUUGAUUAUUCUGUACUAAAUAAGUCAAAACUUUCAACAACGGAUCUCUUGGUUCUG
rnacentral:misc_RNA from 1 species